rfam:Apaloderma vittatum contig46200, whole genome shotgun sequence.
GGCCAGUUAGCUCAUUCAGUAGAGUGUAGCGCUAACAACGUUAAGGACGCGGGUUCAAUUCCCGCUCGGUCCC